rnacentral:rRNA from 1 species
UACAGAGGGGGCAAGCGUUAUUCGGAAUUAUUGGGCGUAAAGGGCGCGUAGGCGGCUUUGCAAGUGACGGGUGAAAUCCCUCGGCUUAACCGAGGAACUGCCUGUCAGACUGCAUGGCUUGAGACCGGGAGAGGGAUGCGGAAUUCCAGGUGUAGCGGUGAAAUGCGUAGAUAUCUGGAGGAACACCGGUGGCGAAGGCGGCAUCCUGGACCGGCAUUGACGCUGAGGCGCGAAAGCUAGGGGAGCAAACGGG